GAUGCGCGUGUCUCUACAGACCGAGCUAGGUUCCGCUUGCUGCGUGCACAUUACUGAGGGCUGUCAGAACUGUCGAGCUGAGGUCAGUCAGCAGGAAGAAGCCACACGUGUGGGCCCUGUCCCCGUUACCAAACAGAGCAGUGGUCGUCGGCAUUGAUUUGAAGGGGAAUGAGUGCUGACACAUCCUGUCCGCGCGGAGAGACACGCGGCUCCCGCUCUGCCUCACAGCGCGAGGCCAGCUGAGAAGCGCGCGCGCGGACUGAUGCGUCUCCAGGGCCGGGGCGCUUCAUUUCCGCUCUGAGACUUGCCCUGUAGCAGCCGCCGCAGCAACUGGGCCACAGCUGGACAUGUCUCUGCUGAAACAGCGGGGGAGAGAGCUCGAGCGCUUCGACGGACUGUCGCUCAUCUACUGGACUCUAAUGGGUCCAUAUGGAGUCGACAGAGCUGUUCAUUCCAUGGAGUUCACAGACUGUGAAAAUGGCCUAGGAAUCAAAGUGAUUGGCGGAGUGAAAGAGCUAACGGGAGAGGAGUUCGGAGUCUACGUCAAGCGGAUUUUACCUGGUGGCCUUGCUGCAGCUGAUGGAAACCUGUUGCCGGGAGACCAGAUCCUGGAAGUAAACGGGGAUACUCUUGUUGGAGUCACAAGUGAAAGAGCUGUGGACAUCUUGAGAACAGCAUCUGCCACAAAUCACAUGCGCCUUCUUAUAGCCAGAGAUGAAGAAGCAAAGAGAGAAUUUGCUGAGCUGCUGGAGAAAUAUGGCUCCAACGGUAGUACCGGAUCAACCCGCAACUCUCCCAUUCAGCAAGGAGGUCGCCUCUUGGACAGCACAUCAUCCGGUUCCUCAUCUCGAUCUCAGAGCCCGUUGUUGCUGAGCCCUGCAAACUCUCAGAACAUGUACAAUGGUGGGCCCAUGAUGCGCUCCCUCAGUCACCCAGGUGAAGGAGUGAUCCAGCUCAUUUCUGUGGCUCGGUCCAGCAGUUUAGGGAUUACGAUUGGAGGAGGCUCCAACAGGCCCGACGGCCCCGCUGUGUUCAUCCAGGAAGUGCUGUCUGGAGGAGACUGUCACAGGGACGGCCGCCUGAGGCCGGGAGAUCAGCUCAUUGCCAUCAACAAGGAGUCUUUGAUUGGUGUAACUCAUGAGGAGGCAAAAGGCAUGCUGAACAAAGUGAAAUGCAGCCAAGACAACACAGUGGAAAUCGCCUUCAUCCCUGGAAAAGGUCUUUUUCCCAGCAGCACAUCGCUCCACAACGGAGUCCAGCGAGCCGCCGGCAACAGCUACAACUCUGGACGCCUAAAAGUUCACAUCAGGUCACCUGAGAUCUGUGCAGAGGAGCCAGCUCUAGUGUCUUCACCCUCUCCAGACAUCUGUCCUCCAGAUAUUCAUAUUUCAGGUUCCACCAGCCAAAGGUCUCCAACAGGGACGAAACCCAGAAUAACACUUGACCCAUACAUUCGCCUCAAAUUGGACAAGUUAGACUUGGUUUUGUCCUUUCUUGGAUUGGACGUCAGUGAAGAGAAGAGGAAGACGCUGAGGCACAGCCUGACCCCUGACCCCCAAGGCACCGUGGCUUAUGGAGAUUUUGUGGAAGCUUGUCGGAACAUCUUCCAGGAGGACCUGGAGGACUUGGGGUUAGGAUCGGGCCCCUUCACCUUCUCCUACCAUGAAGCAGCCAGUUUGAUGGACACAUCGGCGUUUCAUUCACCGACUUAUGAAUCAGAGUGCAGCUACAGCAGUGAGGAGAUGGAGCAGUUCCAGACCGAGGUGAAGCAACUGCAGACCCAAAUGAAGCAACUCAAGGUGAUUCUGAAAGACACAGAACAGAGCAAAAAAAGCCUGGAGGAGGAGCUGCAGAAAACAUCUGAAAAAGCCUGCCUGACUGUGGAGGAGAACACUCGCCUCAAGAGUCGCCUGCAGGCUGCCGAGGCCGAGGCGGAGCAGCGGCAGGCCACCAGCGCUGAGCAGGACUACGAGGAAGUCAUCCAGCUGCUGGAGGCCGAGAUCAGAGACCUGAAGAACCAGCUGGCCGCCAAGAGGCAAGCCUGUGGAGCAGGCGCUAAAGAGGAAGUGGUCGAGCUCAACAGGAAGCUGACCUCCAUCGACUCCCAGCUGAGGAAGUCGGAGCUGAGCAGAAAACACCUGGAGAUCUCCAACAAGAAGCUGCUGGGCUUCGCUCAGAACGUGCACAAGGUGCUGACUAAGCCCAGCCUGUUUGGAGGGGAUGAUGGGAGCAACAGGUCGUCUCCAGCCACUGACAGUCCUGACACCCUGUCACCCCUUCCUGACCCUGCCGUCCAGCUGGCUGUGGAGGCCAAAGAGCUUGUGGAGGGAGUGUGUUGUGUUUCUGCUAAUAAAGGUCCGAAACUAUGAGAACUAGGCGACGUGCAGAAGAGAGAUGGGUGCGAGUGCUUCUGCUUGGCAUGAUUCCAUAUCGGAUGUCAACUCCCAUCAGGUGUGAGCGACAGAGAAGUGGAGGACUGAAGGAGGUCCUGCCCCGUCACCAAAGAAGCCCACCGAGCCCAAACCGACGACAACGACGACGUUCUUCACCAACCGACAGGACACAGGCCCCCUGUUCCCUCCUUCAGCCAGUGCCGACCCUCUCCUCCCAGUACAGCAAAGGGACAGGUGGCAUCUCUCAUGAGACCCCCGCUUGUUAGAGACUGCAGCCGAAGAACUGCCCGGCGUCUCAGCAGCAAACGUUGCUGUAUGUCCUGUGGCGGAUGAUGUUGAAGGCACUGCAUGACCAAGUGCACAACACUGAAAACCUUGUUAAUACUCCUCUCAUGUAUUUUGUAAAUUAUCCACUCACAGGCAGAUUGAGCCCUCCUCCCCCCGUACUGCAUGUGAAGGAGAGCUACGUCCUGCUUAGGUGGGACAAUCCAGAGCUGAGCAGUCCUCUGUCCAUCAUCCGCUCCAUCCCGUUUCCCUGGGCUGCUUGCUCUGCCACAAACAUCAACAUAGUUACUGUCGAGAAAAAGUGUAGAAACAUGUUACCUCUCCUUGUGCUCUUUCUUGUUAAAAAGCUAGAAGGUGAAGGCUUCAGAGGUUCUGGACCUGAGGGCGGAGUGUCAUGUCCAGCUUGGUUUCACUGCAGUGGUUCAUGUUGGCUCCAGCUGUGUGCUCUUGUUUUACAGCGUGAACAGAAGCAGGUCAUAGGCUACAUGUCAAACUUUUGUUUUAUUUCUGCCAACAGCUGCAAGCCCAUUCAUGGAGUGUUUUUGAACUGAACUGCAUCUUCAGUGUGGCCUCAUACUCUUUAUUAUGUUUUAUAUUAAAGGGAUAACUUUGUGUAUGUUGUCUGUUUCCGCAACAACAACAAGCUUCUGUCUUUUCCCACAGAUUCUUUAUUUUUUGUUGAUCUAACUUGUGUUUCUUUUUGUUGUUGUUGUUGCUGGUGGGGACCUGUUACAGCCAUGGAAAAAUAUUAAAUAAGUUCUUUAUUAAA